AAGAUGACGGACCUCCUCCGUCACACAGCAGUCUGGCUGAGAGGACCCUGUCGUCUGCUCCGGUCCAGUGUGUGUUGGAUAAAGACUCUCUUCAGGAUGGUCUGAGGGUUCUGAUCCCCAUGGAUGAUCAGCUGCUGUAUGCUGGCCACGUCAACACGGUACAUUCCCCGGACAUUUACAGCGUGGUGGUGGAGGGGGAGAGAGGGAACAGACCUCAUAUCUACUGUCUAGAACAACUCCUGACCCC